rnacentral:rRNA from 1 species
CUUAUGCUUUUGGAGCGGCCGAUGUCUGNUUAGCUAGUUGGUAAGGUAAUGGCUUACCAAGGCAACGAUCAGUAGUUGGUCUGAGAGGACGACCAGCCACACUGGGACUGAGACACGGCCCAGACUCCUACGGGAGGCAGCAGUGGGGAAUUUUGGACAAUGGGCGCAAGCCUGAUCCAGCAAUGCCGCGUGAGUGAAGAAGGCCUUCGGGUUGUAAAGCUCUUUCAGUUGAGAAGAAAAGAUUGUGACUAAUAAUUGCAAUUCAUGACGGUAUCAACAGAAGAAGCACCGGCUAACUACGUGCCAGCAGCCGCGGUAAUACGUAGGGUGCGAGCGUUAAUCGGAAUUACUGGGCGUAAAGGGUGCGCAGGCGGUUCUGUAAGUCAGAUGUGAAAUCCCCGGGCUUAACCUGGGAACUGCGUUUGAAACUACAAGGCUAGA